rnacentral:rRNA from 1 species
ACUGACGCUAAAAGCUCGAAAAGUGCGGGUAUCGAAACAGGAUUAGAUACCCUGGUAGUCCGCACGGUAAACGAUGGAUGCCCGCUGUUUUGCGAUACACUGUGAGCGGCCAAAGCGAAAGCGUUAAGCAUCCCACCUGGGGAGUACGCCGGCAACGGUGAAACUCAAAGGAAUUGACGGGGGCCCGCACAAGCGGAGGAACAUGUGGUUUAAUUCGAUGAUACGCGAGGAACCUUACCCGGGCUUGAACUGCCGGCGAACGAUACAGAGAUGUUGAGGCCCUUCGGGGCGCCGGUGGAGGUGCUGCAUGGUUGUCGUCAGCUCGUGCCGUGAGGUGUCGGCUUAAGUGCCAUAACGAGCGCAACCCCUCUCCGUAGUUGCCAUCGGGUGAUGCCGGGCACUCUGCGGACACUGCCACCGUAAGGUGUGAGGAAGGUGGGGAUGACGUCAAAUCAGCACGGCCCUUACGUCCGGGGCUACACACGUGUUACAAUGGGUGGUACAGAGGGCAGGCGGCCGGCGACGUCCGUCGAAUCCUAAAAGCCAUCCUCAGUUCGGACUGGGGUCUGCAACCCGACCCCACGAAGCUGGAUUCGCUAG